GACGAACGCUGGCGGCGUGCUUAACACAUGCAAGUCGAACGAAGUGGCGCACGGGUGAGUAACGCGUAAUCAACCUGCCCUUCAGAGGGGGACAACAGUUGGAAACGACUGCUAAUACCGCAUACUGACGGCGGGGAUUGCGUCUGCUUAGCUAGUUGGAGGGGUAACGGCCCACCAAGGCGAUGAUCAGUAGCCGGGCUGAGAGGAUGAACGGCCACAUUGGGAAGUAGAAACGGCCCAGACUCCUAAGGGAGGCAGCAGGGGGGAAUCGUCCGAAAUGGACGAAAGGCGGACGGAGCAACGCCGGGUGAGGGAAGACGGCCGUCGGGUUGUAAAGCUAUGUUAAUCGGGACGAGGUACCGGAAUAGAAAGCCACGGCUAACUACGUGCCAGCAGCCGCGAUAAUUC
rnacentral:rRNA from 1 species